GCGGAUGUGGUGGAAUUGGUAGACACGCUAGCUUGAGGGGUUAGUGCCGCAAGGCGUGAGAGUUCGAGUCUCUCCAUCCGCACCA
rnacentral:tRNA from 1 species